GCUCCCGUAGCUCAACGGAUAGAGCGCCCGCCUUCUAAGCAGGAAAUAUAGGUUCGAUUCCUAUCGGGAGCA
rfam:Candidatus Wildermuthbacteria bacterium RIFCSPHIGHO2_02_FTLL_47_12 rifcsphigho2_02_scaffold_4111, whole genome shotgun sequence.